AAAAAAUGGGAUCCCCCCUUCCUGAUAGAAACAGCGCACCGCUCACUCUCAACCUCUAAAAAAUCUGCUCCAUCUCCAACGCUAGCGACCCCCCAUCUCCAACGCCGGCGACCCCGCUCCAGCCAUACUCCCCUCUUUCCCCUCUCUUCUCCACCUCGCCACAUCUUUCAGAACUGCAGAGAUCUCAGUGAUCUCAAAGCAUCAGAUGAGGCAUGAUUCGACCUCUGCACUCAAGGAUCAUGAAUGAUCCAGUGGUUGUUUAAACAAAUCCAUUCGAGGUCCAGAGAAUAAAAGCACGAAUGGACUUCAACGACUGAACGAUUCAAGUGUUUCCACCAAGAUCCGACACAGCUCUUAUUCUCUCAAAUCAGUUCUCUUAUAGCGUCCGAAUAAAUUAGCUCCUGCACAUUAUCUAUUGAGCUUGAAGAGCUGUUGUUUGCCGUUGUUAUGUACCAGAGCUUGUACAAGCUGUUCUCUUUAGCUAAGAGCUCCAAAGUUCAGUCGACGAGGCCAUUGGAAAAUUCUCCGGUCGAGAGUUGAUUAAUCUCCAAGUUGGUUGUAAUUUAACUCAAAUUCAAAAUACACAGUUUAUAUUGGUGGUGCUUAUAGAAUACCUUAUAUUUCUGUUGGAGGAGCAAGUUGUGCUUAUGAGGACUUAGGACAGUGUUUGGAGCUAAAUUAAAGCUAGGGAAGCCCCUCAGAGUUGAGUACGUGUGAAAGAAGAAAGAAAAGAAGAGAGAAAAUGCUGAUCUAUUCUAGCGCGGGCCAAGCACAGCCUUAGCGCGACCGCGCUAGAGCAGAAAAACGGGACAAUGUACUUGGCGAUAUGCUCGGUUCGAGCGCGCCGCGCUAGUCACUCUGGAGCGCAGAAAUUUCAAGGGUAAACUUGAAAGUUAGGGGGAAAUUUCACUUAACUAUAAGAGGUCUAGCUCGCCCAAAAAGAGAUUAUCAAGGUUUUUAUAGUUUUGUUGAAGGCAAGAAGAGGCAAGAGGCAAGGAAGAUAAUUCGACAUCGAGUUCUACCUUUCUUCCUUUUGUAUUUAUCAUUCAUGAUGAGUUUUGCUGUUAUUAUUAUGAACACAAUUAUGAGUAGCUAUUUAAUUAUUUAGUCUAAGGUUUUGAUGGAACUUGUUGAGGGAUGGACUUCUUAUUGUGCUAAUAUAGUUUGCCCACUUAAUAUCUAUUUGUUCAA